AUCAAAAAGCGGCAUUUUUGUAAGGGCAACAUAUUCAAAUCCCCAAUUCAACAAAACGCAGACUGGUACACCCAACAUGGCCGAACAUUCGGUCGCUCACUGAUCCUGAUUUGACUACUUAUGUCUUAAAUACUGAGUCGACAGCUGCUGCUAACGCUUAAUAUUCUCACUGUUCUGUGUCCGUGAACAAUAAAUGAGGUUAAGCGCGUUCUCUCCAUAUCGUAAAAAUGCGCACACUGUGGACUUUUACACGCGUGAUGUUUGGAGCACGUUCGCGUGUUUGAGUCCAGAGGAACUGUUGUGUGCUAUCAGUUCCUCACAAGACCGCAUGAGGGCGAUAGAAGAAGGAAAACAAUAACUUUGGUUUCUGCAAUGCCUCAAAGAAGUUGGUGGACAGAUGAGGGCAGUGAAAGCCCACUGUUUACGAGGUCUGGGGUCUGUAUGCAGCUGGAAGAUCUGAUGCAGAAUCUGAUACUGAUGACUGGAGACAUUAUAGAAGGAGUGUCAUCAGAAGAACUUCUGACCAGAUGAAUUUAUGCAGGCAGUGUCUGG